UUGCAGGGUUCUCGAGUGGCAAACGGGUGAGUAACACGUGGGUGAUCUGCCCUGCACUUCGGGAUAAGCUUGGGAAACUGGGUCUAAUACCGGAUAGGAACCAUCUUUARUGUGGAGGUUGGAAAGUUUUUUCGGUGUAGGAUGAGCUCGCGGCCUAUCAGMUUGUUGGUGGGGUAAUGGCCUACCAAGGCGGCGACGGGUAGCCGGCCUGAGAGGGUGUACGGCCACAUUGGGACUGAGAUACGGCCCAGACUCCUACGGGAGGCAGCAGUGGGGAAUAUUGCACAAUGGGCGCAAGCCUGAUGCAGGGACGCCGCGUGGGGGAUGAAGGCCUUCGGGUUGUAAACUCCUUUCGCUAGGGACGAAGCUUUGU
rnacentral:rRNA from 1 species